GAUUAGCGGCGGACGGGUGGAGUAACACGUGGGUAACCGUACCCUACUAGACUGGGAUAACUUCGGGAAACCGGAGCUAAUACCGGAUAAUACUUCGAAACACAUGUUUUGAAGUUGAAAGACGGUUUCGGCUAUCACUAUAGGAUGGACCCGCGGCGCAUUAGCUAGUUGGUGGGGUAAUGGCUCACCAAGGCAACGAUGCGUAGCCGACCUGAGAGGGUGAUUGGCCACACUGGGACUGAGACACGGCCCAGACUCCUACGGGAGGCAGCAGUAGGGAAUCUUCCACAAUGGACGAAAGUCUGAUGGAGCAACGCCGCGUGAAGUGAAGAAGGAUUUCGGUUCGUAAAACUCUGUUGCAAGGGAAGAACAAGUAGCGUAGUAACUGGCGCUACCUUGACGGUACCUUGUUAGAAAGCCACGGCUAACUACGUGCCAGCAGCAGC
rnacentral:rRNA from 1 species